CCCUUAGAUGUUCUGGGCCGCACGCGUGCUACACUGAGUAAUUCAAUGGGUAAGGGAACGCUAGAGCAUUACCUAAUCUUGAAAUUUGCUCGUGAUGGGGAUCGACGGUUGCAGUUUUCCGUCGUGAACGAGGAAUACCUUGUAGGCGCAUGUCAUCAUCAUGCGCCGAAUACGUCCCUGCCCUUUGUACACACCGCCCGUCGCUCCUACCGAUUGAGUGAUCCGGUGAGGCUCUGGGACCUGGACGGAAAGAGCGUUUCGCUUGUUCUGUUUGGGAAACUUGGUCGAACCUUAUCAUUUAGAGGAAGGAGAAGUCGUAACA
rnacentral:rRNA from 1 species